CGGGCGUAGGAUAUUUGAGAGGAGCUGUCCUUAGUACGAGAGGACCGGGAUGGACUGACCUCUGGUGUACCGGUUAGGUUGUCAAACCUAUGGCCGGGUAGCCAAGUCGGGAAGGGAUAAACGCUGAAGGCAUCUAAGCGUGAAGCCCCCCUCAAGAUGAGAUAUCCCAUCGCAAGAGUAAGACCCCUUGAAGACGACGAGGUAGAUAGGGCAGAGGUGGAAGUGCAGUAAUGUAUGGAGCUGACUGUUACUAAUCGGUCGAGGGCUUAUCCAA
rnacentral:rRNA from 1 species